rnacentral:rRNA from 1 species
AUUGAACGCUGGCGGCAUGCCUUACACAUGCAAGUCGAACGGCAGCACGGGAGCAAUCCUGGUGGCGAGUGGCGAACGGGUGAGUAAUAUAUCGGAACGUGCCCAGUCGUGGGGAUAACGUAGCGAAAGCUACGCUAAUACCGCAUACGAUCUAUGGAUGAAAGCGGGGGAUCGCAAGACCUCGCGCGAUUGGAGCGGCCGAUAUCAGAUUAGGUAGUUGGUGAGGUAAAGGCUCACCAAGCCGACGAUCUGUAGCUGGUCUGAGAGGACGACCAGCCACACUGGGACUGAGACACGGCCCAGACUCCUACGGGAGGCAGCAGUGGGGAAUUUUGGACAAUGGACGCAAGUCUGAUCCAGCCAUUCCGCGUGCAGGAUGAAGGCCCUCGGGUUGUAAACUGCUUUUGUACGGAACGAAAAGGUUUCUAUUAAUACUAGGAGCUCAUGACGGUACCGUAAGAAUAAGC